UACGUAGGGUGCGAGCGUUGUCCGGAAUUACUGGGCGUAAAGAGCUCGUAGGUGGUUUGUCGCGUUAUUCGUGAAAACUCACAGCUUAACUGUGGGCGUGCGGGCGAUACGGGCAGACUAGAGUACUGCAGGGGAGACUGGAAUUCCUGGUGUAGCGGUGGAAUGCGCAGAUAUCAGGAGGAACACCGAUGGCGAAGGCAGGUCUCUGGGCAUUAACUGACGCUGAGGAGCGAAAGCAUGGGGAGCGAACAGG
rnacentral:rRNA from 1 species